CUUCGGAUAAAACAGUCUAACCUCCCCUACCGAAUGAACCUCUCAAUUUCAUCUUGGAGUUGGAGGCCAUCUUCAGUAUCAUGACUAUGGUCAUGAUGAUAGAAGUAGUACUUAUUUGGAUCAUAGCGCUCUGGCUUCAUCCGCAUCUUUGGAGGUUGAGGCAGCUCGACUCGCACCUCCAUCAGUAUCUCCCCCCUAGAGGCAUUCAAAGGCGUAUAAUUAGUGUACCACGUUUGAGGCGAAUUAUUCCUUCGUCCCCCGGGAGGGGGCCUAUUCUGCCGAUUCCUUGGUGGAGAU
rnacentral:lncRNA from 1 species